CAUACCGUGACGGAGUAUGUUCUUCGGAUCCUCAUGGACAAUAAAGAUGCGGAGAAGUUGUUUUUUAUACCGUUUAAUACCGGUGGACAUUGGUUGUUGCUCGCAAUCAAUCCUAUCCGAGAAAUUGUGUAUUAUCUUGACUCGUUAGGAAAUGAUUGGACAACAUACCCGGAUAUGAAGGUCCUAAUUGACACCGUCCUACAAGCUUUUCAGGCC